ACAGUUAUCUUCAGGGGAGAUAUUAUGGUCACACAGGUGAUUUUCCUAGGGCGAGGUUCACCCAUUGCACUUGGGAUGUGCUGACCCCUGCGAUUUCCCCAAAUGUGGGAAAUUGGACUGCUGUAAUCUGUGACAGUGGGGGACUGUGUUCACGCUCCCUAC